AGCAUCCCAGAGGCCGCUUCCUUGGUCGCGGACCCGGAGAGGCGAAGGGGAAACUAGAGCAUGAUGGCGGCCGAGCUCACUUGGCGCAACCAUCGUCUUUUUUCCUUUUUUAGCUCAUUGGUGCCUCGCUCUCGCGCUGCUUCCACUGAGCUCCUCUCUCCAUCCAGUAUUGCCUAAUAACGGAAUCUAUACGCGCCGGCUCCUUGAUUUAUCCCCUUCGAAGUGCUGAGUGUGGGCUGGUUGUACGUCAUUGGACUGUCAGAAUGUCACUCCCUAGUCAAAUCUUCAAGCUAUUGGUGGAACAGCCAGAAAACCCGUCCAACAACAAGGACUAGUGCCAUUGGUUUGACUCCACAGAGUUCUUUCCUGGUAUCUUAUUGGGCAAAUAGGCGCGUCAGUCAGCUCUGGAUUCCCUGUGCUACAGUUAAUUGUUGGCUGGGGGUUUGCGUGACUCUGGUCGUUUUGGCCCAUAAUUGACGAUAAUAAUGACCAUCGUUUAUUUUGUGCGUACUUUGUGCCAACUACCGUUCUGAUUUCUUUGCAGGGAUUAUCUGGUUAACCGUCUCUAUAAAUGAACAUUUCCACAUCCUUGUGUGCCAAGCCACCUUCCUCAACCCCCACUCAUCCAUCUUCAGCUCACUCUUUAGAGAGAGACCUCAAGAACCAGAAACAAGAAGAAAGAGAGUCGAAAGAGAAAUGAAUAAAUCGCUUUAGAAAUAAAUUAUUUAUUACAUGCAAAUGGAACAGCCCUUCAGCUCCUGGGAAGCUUCCAGAGUGGCCCCUGAUGCAGUGGCAAGACGUGUGCUCCUGGCUGGUGGCCACUAGAUUCUUUUUCUGUGGCAGCUUUCAGCGAAGUGAAUCCAACAUUCCAGCCAGGGGAGGGCAGGAUGCUUAGAACCCAAUGCCAAAGAGCCGGCCCCAGCCUCUGGGACUGAAAGGAUCUCCAGAAGCACAGUUCUGGACUCCAGCCCACAUUCCGUCUCGGGUAAUUAACAUUUUACCAUCCCAAAUCCCCAUCCCCUGUAGCUUCAGUAGGAUCACCGCCCUUGUUUCGCUUCCUGAUCCAAGCUGUUGUGUAACCUUGUUGGCACUGCUUUAGUAAUAAAACAACCACUGUAACACUGUAA